rnacentral:lncRNA from 1 species
UUGUAUUCUGUUGCUUAUGCUCAAAUCUAUGGUUCCAGAUUUCUUUCCUAGGGUUUCUAUCUCCAGUGUUGCCUCACUUUGAGUUUUCUUUAUUGUUUCUACUUCCCUUUUUACGUCUAGUAUGGUUUUGUUCAUUUCUAUCACCUGUUUGUAUGUUUUUUCCUCUUUUUCUGUAAGGACUUCUACCUGUUUGAUUGUGUUUUCCUGUUUUUCUUUAAGGACUUGUAACUCUUUAGCAGUGUUCUCCUGUAUUUCUUUAAGUGAUUUAUUAAAGUCCUUCUUGAUGUCCUCUACCAUCAUCAUGAGAUAUGCUUUUAAAUCUAGGUCUAGGUUUUCGGGUGUGUUGGGGUGCCCUGGACUGGGCGAAGUGGGAGUGCUGGGUUCUGAUGAUGGUGAGUGGUCUUGGUUCCUGUUAGUAGGAUUCCUACGUUUACCUUUCGCCAUCUGGUAAUCUCUGGAGUUAGUAGUUAUAGUUGACUCUGUUUAGAGAUUGUUCUUCUGGUGAUUCUGUUACCGUCUCUCAGCAGACCUGGGAGACAGAUUCUCUCCUCUGAGUUUCAGUGCUCAGAGCACUCUCUGCUGGCAAGCUCUCUUACAGGGAAGGUGCGCAGAUAUCUUGUUUUUGGACCUCCUCCUGGUCGAAGAAGAAGGCCCAAAACAGGGCCUCUCUCAGAAUCUGUGUUGCUUUGGCAGUUCCCAGAAGCUGUCAGCUUCUGUGGUGCAGACUCUCACCUGUGCAGACUAAAAUCCUAAGUUCCAGGGAGUCCUGGAACCAAGUAGGUGACCGCUGCUCCUGAGGCCGAGGCCGUCUCCCGAGCCAGGCGGACACCUGUCCUCUGGUCCGGAUGGUGGCCGGUUAUCUGCGGCCCGCCCAGGCUGCUGCCUCAGCGGCUCUGUGCUUCCGCCCGUCCCAGAAGCUGUCCGGUUCUCUGGCGCACCCUCUAACCUGUUCAGACUAAUUUCCUAGGUCCCGCGGAGUCCCGGAACCCAGAUGGCGACCGCUGCUGCUGAGGCUGAGGCUGCCUCCCAAGCCAGGCAGACACCUGUCCUCUGGUCCGGACAGUGGCCGGCUGUCUGCGGCCCGCCAAGGGUGCUGCCUCAGCGGCUCUGUGCUUCUGCCCGUCCCAGAAGCUGUCCGGUUCUCUGGCGCACCCUCUAACCUGUUCAGACUAAUUUCCUAAGUUCUGCUGAGUCCCGGAACCAAGAUGGCGACCGCUGCUGCCGUGUGUGUCUUUCAUUUGAGAAUCCAUAGCAUUGGGAUCUAGCUGCUGCUUCUGAUUCUUGUUUGGUGUUUGCCGAUUGGAUUGGACUGCCACUACUGAUUCUUAUUUGGUGGUAGACUGGACUGCUGACAAAGAAGAUUGGAAUAGUCCCAAAGAACUACUUCUAAACAAGUCCACAACUCCAAUUUUCUAUCAACAUUUCUUUUCCUUUAACUAUGAUUGGUGUGCUAGAAAGAGAGGUUGGAGUGUUAAGGAACCCUAAUAAAAGUAGGUUUCCAAAGAUCU